rnacentral:tRNA from 1 species
GACCGCGUAGCUCAUUUGGAAGAGCAUUGGGCUAGUAUUCCAAAGGUCGUAGGUUCGAAUCCCACGGUGGCCG